AGUCAAGACCCUUAAAGGAAGGAAAGCUGAGAAGAGGUCCCAAAGUCUUACGCGAACUCUGGUCUUCAUGUUGAAGCAAGAAUGCAGGACCAGGAAGAUGAUCUGCACUCAACUGCAGGUUCACAGACAACCACAUGGAAGUCAGAGUUGACAAGGUGUCAUCUCCGCCGUGGAGAGCACCCGACAGGCUCAGACAGAGCUGAGAGAGGUCGGCUGCCGUGGGUGUUGCCAGAGAACCAUCUUUCUCAAUCUGUGCCAGGGCUCUUGCUAAUAUCCUAGCGGCAGUUCUGUCAUUUCAGCCAGCUGACAAGCAGUCUUUCAAAGGGCUCAGGAGUCAUUUUUUAAUAUCACUUGUACUUAAGUAAUAGCACACAAAGAAACAGGCUUUGUUUGGUUAUCAUAGGAAACUAUCCAAGGCGAAGCUGUAUAAGGCAAAAGCAAAAGAAAGGACCUGGCAGAGGGCCUGCGUGCCUCCGGCGGGCAACAGGAAGAGCAUGGAAUUCAUCGGUAUUAACAGUCUUCUACGCUGGCCAUCUUGGUGCUGGUUAUUUAAGGAGAGCAUGCUCUUCCCCAGAGACUGGCAGGCAACAUAUCACCCAGGGUGCAGGUAGCAGCUUUUCCUGCACGAUCCUCAGGAAAACAUGUGACAAAUUCUGAACUACCCCACUCUGGAGAGGCUCGCUGUCACUCCAAACUUACCCCAGCACCUCUGUUGAGAAGGAGGAAUCAGCUGCCCUUUAACCCCAAGCUCUGGGAACUGCAAGCUCUUUAAAAAUGCACCACUUGACGGCCACGUGAAGCAAACGUCCAUCUUCCCUGAAUGCCUUUCAACAGAGCAGUUUGCUAUUGGUCAGGAACAGAGAAAGAACUGUAUCCUAACUGUAGUGGGAUCAU